CUACUAUCAGUUCACAUGUUCUUUUGGCCAGACUUUUAUUUUCUUUUUCCUCUUUAUUGGCUUCUAAUAAAGAGGAAAGAAAAGUUGUUAUUUUUUUCUCCAAUGCUUUAAACUUUAUGUUCUCUUUAUGUUUUUACAGAGAUUGUCCUCCACCCUAGACUCAUACUUAAAGUUUCUCAAACUUAUCACUCUCUAUAUAUCUUCCUUUCAAUUACAGAAGAACCCUGACAUACUCUCAUAUUUUUGUGGUCUUUUCUCUCCCUUUCCCACAAGGUUGGUAUUGUCUAGAAUUUUAAUUCCAGGUCACAUUACAAAUAUCCAAGUUUGAGCCUUAAUGCUUCCAUUUCCCCUGGAUACCAGCUGGAGAUUAUGGCAUGCCAGCUGAGACCAGGCAACAAGGGUGCCUGCCGGGUGGCACAAUAAUAGGAUGAAAAGAAGUAAAAUACAUAUGAAGCUAUAGGCAUGAGGCUGGAUUUUCUUCACAUACUUCAACUAAAGCAAAAUAUCGCAGAUCGAAUGCCGGAGAAGAAUAUGAGAAUAUAUUUUGCUUCUACUAGACAUUAAAAAGAUUUACAAAGAUGAAAACGCCAUGAGAUAUCAUCUAACCCCAGUAAAUAUGGCUAUUAUCAAAAAGGCAAAAAAUAACAAAUGCUGAUGAGAAUGUGGAAAAAAAGGAAAUGCUAAUACACUGUUGGUGGGAAUGUAAAUUGGUAUAGCCACUAUGGAAAACAGUAUGAAGUUUCCUGAAAAAAUUAAAAAUAGAAAUUACUAUAUGAUUUGGGUAUAUAUGCAAAAGAAAGGAAAUAAGUAUAACAAAGAGAUAUAUGCACUCUCAUGUUAAUUGCAGCACUAUUCAUAAUAGGCAAGAUGUGAAAUCAACCUAAGUGUCCACUAAUUAAUAAAUGGAUAAAGAAAAUAAGAUAUAUAUACACAAUGGAAUAUUAGCCAUAAAAAAGAAUGAAAUUCUGUCAUUUGCAACAACGUAAGUGAAACUAGAAUACAUUCUGUUAAGUGAAUAAGUUACGCAUAGAAAGAUAAAUAUGGCAUAUUCUCACUCAUAUAUGGGAGCUAAAAAAGUUGAUCUCAUAGAAGUAAAGAGUAGAAUAAUGGUUGCUAGAGUCUGGGCUGAAUGGGAAGGGAAUGGGGGAAUGAAGAAAGCUUGGUUAUUGGCUCCAAAAAUAUAGAUAGAAGGAGUAAGUUAUAAUGUUUGAUGUUUGAUAGGACAAUAGUUAGCGAUAAUUUAUUGUAUAUUUCAAAGUAAGUAGAAGAGCAUAUUUGUAAUGUUCCCAACACAAAGAAAUGAUAAAUGUUUGAGGUUACUGAUUUUGAUCAUUGCACACUUUAUGCAUAUAUCAAAAUAUUACAUAUACCCUAUAAAUAUGUACAAUUAUGUAUCCAUUAAAAAUAUUUACAAAAAAAAUUUGCAAAAGUGUAAAAUGCUG
rnacentral:lncRNA from 10 species